GAUGAACGCUGGCGGCGUGCCUAAUACAUGCAAGUCGAGCGAACGGACGAGAAGCUUGCUUCUCUGAUGUUAGCGGCGGACGGGUGAGUAACACGUGGAUAACCUACCUAUAAGACUGGGAUAACUUCGGGAAACCGUAGCUAAUACCGGAUAAUAUUUUGAUCCGCAUGGUUCAAAAGUGAGAGACGGUCUUGCUGUCACUUAUAGAUGGAUCCGCGCUGCAUUAGCUAGUUGGUAAGGUAACGGCUUAUCAAGGGGACGAUGCAUAGCCGACGUGAGAGGGUGGUCGCCCACACUGGAGCGGGACCACGCUCCAGACUCCUGCGGGAGGCAGCAGUAGCGAAUCUUACGCAGUGGGCGAGAGCCUUGCGGAGCGACGCCACGUGAGUUAUGAAGGUCUUCGGAUCGUAAUACUCUGUUAUUAGGGGAAAACAUAUGUGUAAGGAACUGUGCACAGCUUGACGGUACCUGAUCAGAAAGCCCCGGCUAACUACGUG
rnacentral:rRNA from 1 species